rnacentral:rRNA from 1 species
UACGUAGGGACCAAGCGUUGUUCGGAUUUACUGGGCGUAAAGGGCGCGUAGGCGGCGCGGUAAGUCACUUGUGAAAUCUCUGAGCUUAACUCAGAACGGCCAAGUGAUACUGCAGUGCUAGAGUGUGGAAGGGGCAAUCGGAAUUCUUGGUGUAGCGGUGAAAUGCGUAGAUAUCAAGAGGAACACCUGAGGUGAAAGACGGGGUUGCUGGGCCAACACUGACGUGAUGCGCGAAAGCCAGGGGGAGCAAACGGG